rnacentral:lncRNA from 1 species
GCUGCCGCCCCUGGCCUGCCAGGACCCAGAGGGAGCGGAGCACGCGCCUUUGGGAAUCUUCGGUGCGCCAAGUCUGUUCGCCGCCGGGGUCUAUCACCCCCGCCCCUCGCCUCUGCCCGUGAGCGUGUGAGUUGUAGCGUACCCUGGGGUCUGUUCUGGAGGAGGCCUGAGAGCGGGGUUGCCUGGGGCGUGGGUCUCUCAUCCCUCUCGUCCUGGUGAAGAAGAAGAGUAUACCCAGCGGCAGCUGGCUUGGCUUUUUCAGAGGAAACAGAGACUCUCAGACAUGAAUACUGUGACACUGACCACCAGGCCAACUUAACAUCAGCAGAUAUCCUGUCUCAGAUGAAGAGAAUGGCCUGUCCAGAAGACAGCCAAAUACAUCCUUCAAACAGACUUCACUGCAGGAGACAGAGUGGAUUCAUCCUGUAUUCUCCAUGUAGACUUCCAUCUUCAUGAGUACUCCAAGAAGAUGGUUCAGUUGACUAUUGCAAAGUCUCAGGUAUGUCUUUAUCAGCAGCAUGAAAAUGGACUAAUAGUACCAGUAGAGUGGGGCAUUGCUGAAAAGAUACCCGAAAAUGUGGAAGCAACUUUGGAACUGGGUGUUGAAAUAAUCUGGAGGGCUCAGAAGAAGAUAGGAAAAUGUAGGAAAGUUUGGAACCUCCUAGAGACUGUGAAUGGCAUUGACAAAAAUACUGAUAGUGAUAUGAACAAUAAGGUCCAGGCUGAGGUGGUCUCAGAUGGAGAUGAAGACCUUGUUGGGAACUGAAGUAAAGGUGACCCUUGUUAUGUUUUAGCAAGGAGACUGGCAGCAUUUCACCCUUGCCCUAGAGAUUUGUGGAACUUAGAGCUUGAGAGAGAUGACUUAGGGUAUCUGGUGGAAUAAAUUUCUAAGCAGCAAAGCAUUCAAAAGGUGACUUGGGUGCUGUUAAAAACAUUCUGUUUUAAAAGGGAAACAAGAGCAUAAAUGUGGAAAAUCUGCAGCCUGAUGAUGCAGUAGAAAAGAAAAACCCAUUUUUUUUAAGGAGAAAUUCAAGCUGGCUGCAGAAAUUUGCAUAAGCAGCAAGGAGCCUAAUGUU